rnacentral:lncRNA from 1 species
GAAAUGAAACUUUAUUCAUAUAAGAAACUCAUAAGUUCAAACCAUAAUCAAAGCUAAGGUUCACUUCACCCAAAGUACAAAGAUAAACUAGCCAAGCAUGGCUAGGGAAUUCAUAAUACAAAUUAAAAGAACAAAAACAUGAAAUAAGAGUAAAAAAAAGCCACCCACAAGCUCCAAGAAACUAAAACUCUAAGUUUUGUUCAUAAAAUUACAAGUUACCUAAAAGAAAUAACACAAACUCUAUUUAUAGAGUUUCCAGCGGCCACCCACGCAUGUGCGUGGAGGCAAACCGUUAAAAUGCAGCAUCAGGUUAGUCCACGUCGCAUGCGUGACCUUCAGGUUUGGUCAACACACAUGUGCGUGGCCUAGUUGCGCACUUGCGUGGCCUUUAGGUUUUUCCUCUUUUCUUCGAGGUGCACAUGCGUGGCUCAUCUGGUUUUUCUUCAAUUUUGUAACUCCCACUUCUCCUAUCGUCAUGGCUCAUUACUUAGCCUUCCAUCAUCAUCAUUAGCCAUCAAAAUCCUAUCAAACCUGAAAAGAAUCUCAAGAACCCAUCAAAACAACAAUGUAACUCAUGAGAACAUGCAUUUAAUCACAAUUAUUUAGCUUUCUUCCAAUCAAUUCAUCAAAUGAAACUCCUAAUAUGCAAUCAACAUUCAUGAAUUCAAAAGACUUCAGCUCAAACCUAACCAUAGAAAUUACAGUCUAACUAAAACUAAUAAAAAGACCAAGUAAAUAGAUUAAAAACACUUAAACUAAUGCAGAUGCAAUUAUGAAUUAAAAAGGGACUCAACUUGACUUAAAACUAAAUAAAGGACUCAAAAAGGAAAAGAAAGAAACUAGAACGACUCAACAAUCAUAGAAUAAACUCGGGUUAUCACCUCUCAAGAAGAUUUAGUUUUUUAUUUAUUUAAUGUGUGCGUGGGUUUAUAUUUUUUUGUUAAUGUGUGUGAGGUAUAUGUGUGUGGUCAAGAGUAUAUGUGUUAGGUUUCUAGUUAAUGUGUGGGAGAUGAAUAUGUUUUUUUUUUCUUGGGUAACAUGAUGAAGAAGAUGAAGAUUGACAGUCAUGAUGAAGUUUGGAGAAUAAGAUAAUAUGAUGACGAAUUGAUGAUUGAUGAACGGAAUUUAUAUGAUGUUUUUAGAAUUUUUUCUUGCUAGUUUUGAGUCUUUUUCUUGUGUCUCAUGUAGUGUUUCAUGCAUUCUCAUGCAUUUUUACUUUUAUAUUUGCAUUUGCAUUAGUUUAGUAAUUUUGUAGUUUUAUAAGGGUCUUUCUUGCAUUUUUAUAAAGUUUAGGUCUUGCAUGUGUUUUCCAUUGAAUU